UUUUGACUCAAUAUCUGCAUCUGCAUAAAAGAAUUUGGAGUUCAAGUAGUACCCCCUGCAUGCAAUGAUCUAUGGAGCUGUCUAUCCCAUUUGUCAUCUAUAAUCUCCCAAAUUGGGGCAUACUUAGCUGCAUCAUUGCCCAAAUUCUCUGCAAUGUCAUUCUUAGCCCUUUCCAUUGCAUCAUAGAUAAAGCCCAUGGAGGGCUUAUCAACAUCAACCAAGCACAAAACCUUCACCAAGGGAAGAAAUACUAAUAUCGCACGCUUCACCCCACGCCAAAAAUAUUUCGAAAGAACAAUAUCUCGUGCCUUCUUUCCCUUGGCAUCUCUAUACCACUUACACCUACUCCACUCAUCUGAAGCAAC
rnacentral:lncRNA from 1 species